rnacentral:rRNA from 1 species
UACGUAGGGUGCAAGCGUUAUCCGGAAUUAUUGGGCGUAAAGAGCUCGUAGGCGGUUUGUCGCGUCUGCUGUGAAAACUGGAGGCUCAACCUCCAGCCUGCAGUGGGUACGGGCAGACUAGAGUGCGGUAGGGGAGAUUGGAACUCCUGGUGUAGCGGUGGAAUGCGCAGAUAUCAGGAAGAACACCGAUGGCGAAGGCAGAUCUCUGGGCCGUAACUGACGCUGAGGAGCGAAAGCAUGGGAAGCGAACAGG